AUACUUUGGUUUCUUAUCAAAUUGUAUAAAUCUUUUGCCCCUUAGUAAAGAUUUUCAUGAAGAGGAACAGGCACGAGUGUUGAGGGAUGC
ensembl:snRNA U5 U5 spliceosomal RNA